rnacentral:rRNA from 1 species
GACGAACGCUGGCGGCGUGCCUAAUACAUGCCAGUUGAGCGCUGAAGGUUGGUACUUGUACCAACUGGAUGAGCAGCGAACGGGUGAGUAACGCGUGGGGAAUCUGCCUUUGAGCGGGGGACAACAUUUGGAAACGAAUGCUAAUACCGCAUAAAAACUUUAAACACAAGUUUUAAGUUUGAAAGAUGCAAUUGCAUCACUCAAAGAUGAUCCCGCGUUGUAUUAGCUAGUUGGUGAGGUAAAGGCUCACCAAGGCGAUGAUACAUAGCCGACCUGAGAGGGUGAUCGGCCACAAUGGGAAUGAGACACGGCCCAAACUCCCACGGGAGGCAGCAGUAGGGAAUCUUCGGCAAUGGACGAAAGUCUGACCGAGCAACGCCGCGUGAGUGAAGAAGGUUUUCGGAUCGUAAAACUCUGUUGGUAGAGAAGAACGUUGGUGAGAGUGGAAAGCUCAUCAAGUGACGGUAACUACACAGAAAGGGACGGCUAACUACGUG